ensembl:snRNA U6 U6 spliceosomal RNA
CUGCUUCAGCAGCACAUAUAUUAAAAUUGGAAUGAUACAGAGAAGACUAGCAUGGCCUCUGUGUAAGGAUGACAAGCAAAUUUGUGAAGUGUUCCAUAUUUUU